ensembl:snoRNA SNORD39 Small nucleolar RNA SNORD55/SNORD39
AGCGCAUGACGACACACACCCAGGAAUGCUGCAGACUGCCAAUUGCGCAGUGAGGAAGCCAACCUUGGAGAGCUGAGCAUGUG